AGGAAUAUCCGUACUCCGGAGCUGGCCUGACUUGUUUGCCCACAACUCAGAUCAAGGCGUUAUCCAUGCAUGGAGUGAAGCAAGACACAGAUGGUGGUGGCCGCCCCUGCUGAGGACCUGUGGUCUAGGAGAGCAUGUUGGAGUAGAAGCUGAAGCUCUCUGUCACGGUCUUGGAGUCGCGAGAGGAGCCAUUGGAGCUGGAGACAUUAAGGCCAAAACGAUUUGAAGGUCAGUCAUGAAGGCACAGUCCAGGACUA